rnacentral:tRNA from 2 species
GCCUUCGUAGCAUAAUGGAUAAUGCAGUCCCCUCCUAAGGGAAAGAUUGCAGGUUCGACUCCUGCCGAAGGCGCCA